AGACUCCUACGGGAGGCAGCAGUGGGGAAUAUUGGACAAUGGGCGAAAGCCUGAUCCAGCCAUGCCGCGUGUGUGAAGAAGGUCUUCGGAUUGUAAGCACUUUAAGUUGGGAGGAAGGGCAGUAAAUUAAUACUUUGCUGUUUUGACGUUACCGACAGAAUAAGCACCGGCUAACUCUGUGCCAGCAGCCGCGGUAAUACAGAGGGUGCAAGCGUUAAUCGGAAUUACUGGGCGUAAAGCGCGCGUAGGUGGUUUGUUAAGUUGAAUGUGAAAUCCCCGGGCUCAACCUGGGAACUGCAUCCAAAACUGGCAAGCUAGAGUAUGGUAGAGGGUAGUGGAAUUUCCUGUGUAGCGGUGAAAUGCGUAGAUAUAGGAAGGAACACCAGUGGCGAAGGCGACUACCUGGACUGAUACUGACACUGAGGUGCGAAAGCGUGGGGAGCAAACAGGAUUAAAUACCC
rnacentral:rRNA from 1 species